rnacentral:lncRNA from 1 species
AUCACUAAUCGAUUGUUUAUGGUUUAUGUUUAUUAUGCAGUUUUGUUAAAUAAUUGAUUCUUUAACUGCAAAAUCGAUUUCCGUGUCAGCCAUUCAGCAAUGCUUUUCCAAAACAAUCGAUUGUUUCAAAAUAUAAUCGAUUAUUCUCAAAAUCAGAAAAUUUCUGUGCUUACUGUAACAUAACAAUCGAUUACCAUAUUUUGACAAUCGAUUAUUUCAUGUCAGUAAUU